GUGCUUGCUUCGGCAGCACAUAUAAAAAAUAAUGGAAUGAUACAGAGAAGAUUAGCCUGGCCCCUGUGCAAGGAUGAAAGUCAAAAAUAGAGAAGGAAUGCAAUUUGGG